GUUUUAAUAGCUUAGUGGUAAAGCGUUGUACUGUUAAUACAAUGAUACUAGUUCGAUUCUAGUUUAAAACG
rfam:Candida parapsilosis strain CDC317 mitochondrial contig 006121